GAGGAGGCCCCUGCUCUUGGGCACCCGCAGGAACUUACUCCAGCUCCGGACACACCGUAAACACUUUCAUCUAACGGAAGAUAAGUUGUGAAAUCAGAUUUCUGAACCACAAGACACUUGUGUAAAAACGGCAUUCCAUGCCAGGCCUGAAAUGUUCCAAAGCUCAGUUCGGUUUUGUUAGAACAUUCUAUCUGGUCUCGCUGGAUCAAGCUCUCCUCUCCAGAUCGGCCUAUAUGGGGAACUGAAAAUAAUCCUGUUUCAACGGUCUGUAUCUCAUGCUUGAAAACUUUCAAUGGCUCUCUAUAACUCAGAAUCUAACGUUCAAACCUCUCUAGCUGAUAGUCAAGGUUUCUCGUAAUUGGAUCUUUAACUGCUUAACCUAAUUCUUAAUUCCUGAUCAUUCCUGCAGCCGUGCCUUUGCCUAGACUUAUACCCAUUUUUUCUCUAUUUAACACAUCAGAGCCACUCUUUGGGUCUCAGCUAAAGUGUUAGCUUAUCCAUGCAGCUCUCCCUGACCUCCAUACUCCGCUGAUUACAGAGUCUGCUGAAUUCCAACACCCAUGGUACCUCUUUUAGUACUUAAUUACAUGCCACCUCCCUUUUUAUGACCAUUUCCUUUCUUCCCACCUGUCAUUUCAUGUUCUGAAGACGAUUUCAUCCUAGUGUGGCGCCCAUAGUACUUACUCUUGGGUUGGGCCCAAACUGAGUACUGUAUGUGGAAGGCCGGGCGUCAAAGAUGAGGUCUGGGGAAUCAAAAUAAUAACAGCUAACACUCAUAUUUUGCCAGGCACUGAUCCAAGUGCUUCAUAUGUAUUACCUCAUCUAGGUCUCACAAUAAUCCCAUGAGAUGGUAACUAUCAUACUUUCCAUUUCACAGAAAAGGAAACUGAGUCACAAAGCUAAUAGAUGACAGACCUCGGCCCAAACGCGGGCAAUCUAGUUCCAGAAUCUCUACUCUUCACUACUCUGUUGUAUCCUAUUAUAGAGGAUGGAGCAAAAAUGGGAGAGUAGAGGUUAAGGGAUGAAAUAAUGGGGCUAAAAAUUGGAUAAGGAAAAAGAAUAAGGACAAUUACAAGUAAAAGAUUGGAGAAGG